rnacentral:rRNA from 1 species
CCUACGGGGGGCAGCAGUGGGGAAUAUUGGACAAUGGGCGAAAGCCUGAUCCAGCCAUGCCGCGUGUGUGAAGAAGGCCUUCGGGUUGUAAAGCACUUUCAGUGGGGAAGAAAGCCUUGGGGCUAAUACCCUCGAGGAAGGACAUCACCCACAGAAGAAGCACCGGCUAACUCCGUGCCAGCAGCCGCGGUAAUACGGAGGGUGCGAGCGUUAAUCGGAAUUACUGGGCGUAAAGCGCGCGUAGGCGGUCUGAUAAGCCGGUUGUGAAAGCCCCGGGCUCAACCUGGGAACGGCAUCCGGAACUGUCAGGCUAGAGUGCAGGAGAGGAAGGUAGAAUUCCCGGUGUAGCGGUGAACUGCGUAGAGAUCGGGAGGAAUACCAGUGGCGAAGGCGGCCUUCUGGACUGACACUGACGCUGAGGUGCGAAAGCGUGGGUAGCAAACAGGAUUAGAUACCCCAGUAGUC